rnacentral:rRNA from 1 species
CCUCUUGUUCGGGAUAACUGCUGGAAACGGCAGCUAAUACCGGAUAAGCUCCCCCAAUUGUAUGGGGAGGAAAGGAGGCCUCUUCAUGAAAGCUUCCGCGAGGGGAUGAGUCCGCGUCCCAUUAGCUAGUUGGUGAGGUAACGGCCCACCAAGGCAACGAUGGGUAGCCGGUCUAAGAGGAUGACCGGCCACACUGGAACUGAAACACGGUCCAGACUCCUACGGGAGGCAGCAGUGGGGAAUAUUGCGCAAUGGACGAAAGUCUGACGCAGCGACGCCGCGUGAGGGAUGAAGGUUUUCGGAUCGUAAACCUCUGUCAGGAGGGAAGAAAGCGCAUGGCGCCAAUCAGCCAUGCGUUGACGGUACCUCCAAAGGAAGCGCCGGCUAACUCCGUGCCAGCAGCCGCGGUAAUACGGAGGGCGCGAGCGUUAAUCGGAAUUACUGGGCGUAAAGCGCGCGUAGGCUGUUGUGUAAGUUGGGGGUGAAAUCCCACGGCUCAACCGUGGAACAGCCCUUGAUACUGCGCGACUUGAAUCCGGGAGAGGGUGGCGGAAUUCCAGGUGUAGGAGUGAAAUCCGUAGAUAUCUGGAGGAACAUCAGUGGCGAAGGCGGCCACCUGGACCGGUAUUGACGCUGAGGCGCGAAAGCGUGGGGAGCAAACAGGAUUAGAUACCCUUGGUAGUCCACGCUGUAAACGAUGGAUGCUGGAUGUCGGG